GUGUUCGUAGCUUAGCUGGAUAGAGCAACGGCCUUCUAAGCCGUGGGUCGGGGGUUCGAAUCCCUUCGGGCACA
rnacentral:tRNA from 1 species